CAGGACUCGACGAUGGCAUCAGGAGGUGAUAAGGUCAAGAGGGCGAAGCCCUCGGGAUUGGAAUCCUGCUGGCUUCAAAGGGAGCUGCCUGCACCCCACCCCGCAGAAGGACCCAUGGAGAGCUCACCAUCCAUCUACUGCUGACUUUCCUCAUUGCCAUGGCAAAGGAUCAAACAGAAGCAACUUGAGGGAGGUGCUGCCUUUGUUGGCUCACGGUUUUCUGGGUUCAGUCUGAUCUGGUGGAGAAAGCAUGGCGGAUGUCUGGAGCUAGUGGAUAAACUUGUUCAGAUCUUUGUGGAUGGGGAAGCAGGGCUGAGUUCUAUCCCUCCAGGGGGACCCAGUACUGCUAGGUACUAGACCCAGAGUCCCAAAGUUUUCCCAACCUUCCA
rnacentral:lncRNA from 1 species